AUUGAACGCUGGCAGCAUGCCUUACACAUGCAAGUCGAACGGCAGCACGGGUGCUUGCACCUGGUGGCGAGUGGCGAACGGGUGAGUAAUACAUCGGAACGUACCUUAUCGUGGGGGAUACCGCAGCGAGAGCUGUGCUAAUACCGCAUACGACCUGAGGGGGAAAGCGGGGGAUCGCAAGACCUAGCGCGAUUCGAGCGGCCGAUGCCUGAUUAGCUUGUUGGUGGGGUAAAAGCCCACCAAGGCGACGAUCAGUAGCUGGUCUGAGAGGACGAUCAGCCACACUGGGACUGAGACACGGCCCAGACUCCUACGGGAGGCAGCAGUGGGGAAUUUUGGACAAUGGGGGCAACCCUGAUCCAGCAAUGCCGCGUGAGUGAAGAAGGCCUUCGGGUUGUAAAGCUCUUUAGUCAGGGAAGAAACACCGGCUCUAACACAGUCCGGGAAUGACGGUACCUGAAGAAUAAGCACCGGCUAACUACGUGCCAGCCGCCGCAGUAA
rnacentral:rRNA from 1 species